rnacentral:lncRNA from 1 species
AUUCCUGGUGUUAGGUUCAAGGUUGUGAAGGUGUCUGGUGUCUCGCUUUUGGCUCUCUUCAAAGAGAAGAAGGAGAAGCCAAGAUCUUAAAUACUUCCAGGUCAAAUGCAAGUAUCUUCUGAAUGAAUUUUUGUUAGGAUCAGCUCUUUUAUUUUUUAUUUUCAUUUCCCCAAACCUUUUACUAGUAUAGUUUGUCAUGUGAUUCUGCCAAUACCUGCCAUUUGGUGCAAGUAUCUUCUGAAUGAAUUUUUUGUUAGAUCAGCUCUUUUAUCUUUUAUUUUCAUUUUCCCCAACCUUUAACUAAUAUAGUUUGUCAUGUGGUUCUGCCAAUACCUGCCAUUUGUUUCACCUUCUGUUAAUGAAUGAUGGAUGAUAUUCUGAUGGAAUUUUUAGCUGUUGGAGGUAGAAUGUGUGCUAUUAUUAGUUUUCCUUCCCGCUGAAAUUUUUUGUGCAAUUGCAUUCUUAAAAUCCUGGUAUUUUCAUUGCUUGUUGGAUCAGGGCGUGACGAGAUGCAACAUAGUAUGAAACUCGUUCAAUCCAUAAACAUAGUCUAAUUCCGUCCCCAUUGUGACCGAUCUUCGUUUUCUAACAGCAAAGAAUAUAAAAAUAAAUAAUUCAAUCGAAUUGUCUUUUUUUCUUUUAUCUGAGGAAAGAAAAUUUGACUGAGUUUCUAAUUUGAUUUUUUAAUAUUGCAGUUCA